CACUCUGAUAUUUUAAUUUCCAGAUGAAAGCAGAAGCCAAAGCAGCCUGUUUUUUAAGAGAAAGAAAAGGCUAGAGAACCAUCCUUUUCUUCUUCCCCCGGCCCCUCCUUUUCACACACUCUCUCUUUCUCUUCUCCUUUUCUGUUUCACUUGUCAAACCCUAACACAGUUUUCACUCUCUUUCUCAAUCUCAAGCAACCCAAUCUCAGAAACCCACCUCUGCAAACUGCAAGUUGUAUUAAAUACACCCUUCUUUUACGUGUAUCCUCCAUUCCACCCUUUUGGUGAAAGCCAACUUAAGUAAAAGCAAGGGAAGAAGAGAGCACACCCACACACUUUGUACGGGUUUUGCUCCCACAUAACCAAAAACACCUUCUCUCUCUUUCUCUCUUCUCCCAUACUCCUACCUCAUUCUCCCACCCAGUAAUAACCAAUAUCCAAUCAACCAAAUCUCUCUGCCUCCUCCCUUACGUCUUUCCAUUUUCGGCUCUCAUGGAUUCGCCCAACAGUGGCAGUAUGCAAUCCUCCAGCACCGCCGGUGACGAAGACUACGAUUCACGCGCCGACCCUUCCUCCUCCUCAUCAAUCUCGGCCUUCCUCAACAGCAACCCCGUUCCUCCGCCGCAACAAACAACGUUAACCGCCCAUGUUCCUCCCUUCCAAACCCACGUCUUCGACCCUUUAUCCAAUUACUUGGAUCCAACACAAAGAUCGCAGUCACACCCCAACGCAAGCCAAAUCCUUAACCUCGACAUGAUGUGGAACACCGUUGCCAGAUCCGAACCCGAUCUCGCUGGCUUGAUGCCUGGCUCUUCUUCACCCUCCCCGCACACCAACAGCAGCAACCAAGGUUUUCUGUUAUCUCAACUGGGAGCAGGUCAAAGUCAACCACGCGGAGGAGGAGCCACUAACGUUGCUGUUUCUGCUUUUCCCACCACUCUCGCUUCGGAAAGUGCUUCUGCACGAGGAGGAUUUGAACAAAACAGUACUAACGCCAACACCAACGUGGUUCGAAACCCGAAGAAGAGGUCGAGAGCUUCUAGGCGUGCACCAACUACUGUGCUCACUACGGACACCACGAAUUUCCGAGCCAUGGUUCAGGAAUUUACUGGCAUCCCAGCUCCUCCUUUCACUUCCUCACCCUUCCCGAGAACCAGGUUGGAUCUCUUUGCUUCUUCUAAUGCAUCUUCCUCCGCUUUACUAAGAUCCGCUUCCUCUCAUUUAGAACAACCUCCUCCACAGCCGCAAACACAAACCGCGUCUUAUCUUCUUCGCCCCUUUGCGCACAAAGUCCAAGCUCAACCCUCUUCAAUCCCACACAGCAAUACUUUUUCUCCCAUGUUGAACACCUUGGCUUCUAACAACAAUUCGGGUUCCGGUUCCACCUCCAUUCACUACCAGCACCACUCUCUAAACAUGCAAAACCCAAUUCUCAGCCUCCAAUCCAUUCUCGGGAACAACGACUCUUCUGUUCUUCUCGGUUCUAAAUCACAACAACAACGACAACAACCUUCCUUGGAAAUCACGCCCGGUGCUGUGGACUCGCACCUCAAGAUGGGUGGCUUAGAAGAGCUGGGAUUGAGCCAUGCGCACGUCGGUGGUCAUCAUCACCAUCAUCAUCAAAACAUGAACUUGGUUACUUCUUCAUCAGAUGGAGCAUUGUCGAGGGUCAACAACAACAUAACCAUAGACAACAACAUGCGUGGUCCUUCUUCGGCAGACUUGGCCCAGGCCCAGAGAAUUGGCGGCAGCAAUGAUGGAGGGGCUUUGAGGUCUCUGAGUGGAGGCACUGGCACUGGUACUGGCACUUUAAACUACAGAAGCACUGUUUCGGAUUUUCAUGGAGAGAAGGGAGCACCGGAAUGUGCUGUGGCUGCAAGAAGCGAAGACACCGUUUGAACUCUCCCGGCGUCAAGGGCUUUCAUUUAAAUCGAUCGAGUUGUGGUUCUAAGCCGUUUCUUAAAGCGUGACUGUCGAACGUUAAGGUCUUUGGUAGUGGUGAGCUAUAUUCUGCAUCUGUGAGCGU